CAGUAGCCGCGGGAAUACGUAGGUGGCAAGCGUUGUCCGGAAUUAUUGGGCGUAAAGGGCUCGCAGGCGGUUUCUUAAGUCUGAUGUGAAAGCCCCCGGCUCAACCGGGGAGGGUCAUUGAAAACUGGGAAACUUGAGUGCAGAAGAGGAGAGUGGAAUUCCACGUGUAGCGGUGAAAUGCGUAGAGAUGUGGAGGAACACCAGUGGCGAAGGCGACUCUCUGGUCUGUAACUGACGCUGAGGAGCGAAAGCGUGGGGAGCGGACAGGAUUAGAUACCCGUGUAGUCCCUGUCUCUUAUAC
rnacentral:rRNA from 1 species